rnacentral:rRNA from 1 species
AUGAACGCUAGCUACAGGCUUAACACAUGCAAGUCGAGGGGCAGCAUGAACUUAGCUUGCUAAGUUUGAUGGCGACCGGCGCACGGGUGAGUAACACGUAUCCAACCUGCCGAUGACUCGGGGAUAGCCUUUCGAAAGAAAGAUUAAUACCCGAUGGCAUAGUUCUUCCGCAUGGUAGAACUAUUAAAGAACUUCGGUCAUCGAUGGGGAUGCGUUCCAUUAGGUUGUUGGCGGGGUAACGGCCCACCAAGCCUUCGAUGGAUAGGGGUUCUGAGAGGAAGGUCCCCCACAUUGGAACUGAGACACGGUCCAAACUCCUACGGGAGGCAGCAGUGAGGAAUAUUGGUCAAUGGACGAGAGUCUGAACCAGCCAAGUAGCGUGAAGGAUGACUGCCCUAUGGGUUGUAAACUUCUUUUAUACGGGAAUAAAGUGAGGCACGUGUGCCUUUUUGUAUGUACCGUAUGAAUAAGGAUCGGCUAACUCCGUGCCAGCAGCCGCGGUAAUACGGAGGAUCCGAGCGUUAUCCGGAUUUAUUGGGUUUAAAGGGAGCGUAGGCGGACGCUUAAGUCAGUUGUGAAAGUUUGCGGCUCAACCGUAAAAUUGCAGUUGAUACUGGGUGUCUUGAGUACAGUAGAGGCAGGCGGAAUUCGUGGUGUAGCGGUGAAAUGCUUAGAUAUCACGAAGAACUCCGAUUGCGAAGGCAGCCUGCUGGACUGUAACUGACGCUGAUGCUCGAAAGUGUGGGUAUCAAACAGGAUUAGAUACCCUGGUAGUCCACACAGUAAACGAUGAAUACUCGCUGUUUGCGAUAUACAGUAAGCGGCCAAGCGAAAGCGUUAAGUAUUCCACCUGGGGAGUACGCCGGCAACGGUGAAACUCAAAGGAAUUGACGGGGGCCCGCACAAGCGGAGGAACAUGUGGUUUAAUUCGAAGCAACGCGAAGAACCUUACCAGGUCUUGACAUCCCGAUGACCGCUUCUUAAUCGAAGCUUUUCUUCGGAACAUCGGAGACAGGUGGUGCAUGGUUGUCGUCAGCUCGUGUCGUGAGAUGUUGGGUUAAGUCCCGCAACGAGCGCAACCCCUGUACUUAGUUGCCAGCAUGUAGAGAUGGGAACUCUAAGUAGACUGCCGCGAAUAACGCGGAGGAAGGUGGGGAUGACGUCAAAUCAGCACGGCCCUUACGUCCGGGGCUACACACGUGUUACAAUGGGGGGUACAGAAGGCAGCUACACGGCGACGUGAUGCUAAUCCCGAAAGCCUCUCUCAGUUCGGAUUGGAGUCUGCAACCCGACUCCAUGAAGCUGGAUUCGCUAGUAAUCGCGCAUCAGCCACGGCGCGGUGAAUACGUUCCCGGGCCUUGUACACACCGCCCGUCAAGCCAUGAAAGCCGGGGGUACCUGAAGUGCGUAACCGCAAGGAGCGCCCUAGGGUAAAACUGGUGAUUGGGGCU